rnacentral:rRNA from 1 species
UGACCGCUGGCGGCGUGCCUAAUACAUGCAAGCCGAGCGAACGGACGAGAAGCUUGCUUCUCUGAUGUUAGCGGCGGACGGGUGAGUAACACGUGGAUAACCUACCUAUAAGACUGGGAUAACUUCGGGAAACCGGAGCUAAUACCGGAUGAUAUUUUGAACCGCAUGGUUCAAAAGUGAAAGACGGUCUUGCUGUCACUUAUAGAUGGAUCCGCGCUGCAUUAGCUAGUUGGUAAGGUAACGGCUUACCAAGGCAACGAUGCAUAGCCGACCUGAGAGGGUGAUCGGCCACACUGGAACUGAGACACGGUCCAGACUCCUACGGGAGGCAGCAGUAGGGAAUCUUCCGCAAUGGGCGAAAGCCUGACGGAGCAACGCCGCGUGAGUGAUGAAGGUCUUCGGAUCGUAAAACUCUGUUAUUAGGGAAGAACAUAUGUGUAAGUAACUGUGCACAUCUUGACGGUACCUAAUCAGAAAGCCACGGCUAACUACGUG